AUUGAACGCUGGCGGCAGGCUUAACACAUGCAAGUCGAGCGGAGAUGAGGUGCUUGCACCUUAUCUUAGGGCGGACGGGUGAGUAAUGCUUAGGAAUCUGCCUAUUAGUGGGGGACAACAUUCCGAAAGGAAUGCUAAUACCGCAUACGCCCUACGGGGGAAAGCAGGGGAUCUUCGGACCUUGCGCUAAUAGAUGAGCCUAAGUCGGAUUAGCUAGUUGGUGGGGUAAAGGCCUACCAAGGCGACGAUCUGUAGCGGGUCUGAGAGGAGGAUCCGCCACACUGGGACUGAGACACGGCCCAGACUCCUACGGGAGGCAGCAGUGGGGAAUAUUGGACAAUGGGCGGAAGCCUGAUCCAGCCAUGCCGCGUGUGUGAAGAAGGCCUUUUGGUUGUAAAGCACUUUAAGCGAGGAGGAGGCUACCUGGAUUAAUACUCUAGGAUAGUGGACGUUACUCGCAGAAUAAGCACCGGCUAACUCUGUGCCAGCAGCCGCCGUAACAC
rnacentral:rRNA from 1 species